rfam:Tribolium castaneum strain Georgia GA2 unplaced genomic scaffold scaffold_seqid424, whole genome shotgun sequence.
AUAUCGGCCCUUCUCAGGGCCAUCAUUUUUUUAACAAAUAAAAAAA